GUCGAACGGAAACGAUACUAGCUUGCUAGUAGGCGUCGAGUGGCGGACGGGUGAGUAACGCGUAGGAAUCUGCCUGAUAGUGGGGGAUAGCCCGAAGAAAUUCGGAUUAAUACCGCAUAAUCUAUUCGUAGUAAAGUGGGGGACUUUCGAGCCUCACGCUAUCAGAUGAGCCUGCGUAAGAUUAGCUUGUUGGUAGGGUAAAAGCCUACCAAGGCGACGAUCUUUAGCUGGUCUGAGAGGAUGAUCAGCCACAUCGGGACUGAGACACGGCCCGAACUCCUACGGGAGGCAGCAGUGGGGAAUAUUGGACAAUGGGGGCAACCCUGAUCCAGCAAUACCGCGUGUGUGAAGAAGGCCUGAGGGUUGUAAAGCACUUUCAAUUGUGAAGAAAAGUUAGCGGUUAAUAACCGUUAGCCUUGACGUUAACUUUAGAAGAAGCACCGGCUAACUCCGUGCCAGCAGCCGCGGUAAUACGGAGGGUGCAAGCGUUAAUCGGAAUUACUGGGCGUAAAGCGUGCGUAGGCGGUUUAUUAAGUCAGAUGUGAAAGCCCCGGGCUUAACCUGGGAACUGCAUUUGAAACUGGUCAACUAGAGUAUGGUAGAGGAAAGUGGAAUUUCUGGUGUAGCGGUGAAAUGCGUAGAUAUCAGAAGGAACAUCAAUGGCGAAGGCAGCUUUCUGGACCAAUACUGACGCUGAGGUACGAAAGCGUGGGUAGCAAACAGGAUUAGAUACCCUGGUAGUCCACGCCGUAAACGAUGAUAACUAGCCGUUGGGGGGAUUUACCCUUUAGUGGCGAAGCUAACGCGUUAAGUUAUCCGCCUGGGGAGUACGGCCGCAAGGUUAAAACUCAAAGGAAUUGACGGG
rnacentral:rRNA from 1 species